UACGUAGGGUUCAAGCGUUAUCCGGAAUCACUGGGCGUAAAGCGUGCGUAGGUGGUUUGUUAAGUGUAUUGCGAAAUCCUGUGGCUCAACCACAUGGACUGUAAUGCAUACUGGCAAACUAGAGGACGGCAGAGGCAAGUGGAAUUACUGGUGUAGCAGUGAAAUGCGUAGAGAUCAGUAGGAACACCAAUGGCGAAGGCAGCUUGCUGGGCCGACCCUGACGCUAAGGCACGAAAGCGUGGGGAGCGAACAGG
rnacentral:rRNA from 1 species